CGGGAUACGUGCCGCCGCAAGAAGGUGUCAGAGAUAAUCAAUUUUUAAACACAUAAAACAUACAUUUGAAAGAAGAUGUACGGACUGGUACCAAGGCCAGUGGGUCA
ensembl:ncRNA T24B8.11 ncRNA